CCGGGAUUGCCCUAGUAACGGCGAGUGAAGCGGCAAGAGCUCAAAUUUGAAAGCUGGCUCCUUCGGGGUCCGCAUUGUAAUUUGCAGAGGAUGCUUCGGGAGCGGUCCCCAUCUAAGUGCCCUGGAACGGGCCGUCAUAGAGGGUGAGAAUCCCGUCUGGGAUGGGGUGCCCGCGCCCGUGUGAAGCUCCUUCGACGAGUCGAGUUGUUUGGGAAUGCAGCUCUAAUUGGGUGGUAAAUUUCAUCUAAAGCUAAAUAUUGGCCGGAGACCGAUAGCGCACAAGUAGAGUGAUCGAAAGAUGAAAAGCACUUUGAAAAGAGAGUUAAACAGCACGUGAAAUUGUUGAAAGGGAAGCGCUUGCGAUCAGACUCGCCCGCGGGGUUCAGCCGGCAUUCGUGCCGGUGUACUUCCCCGUGGGCGGGCCAGCGUCGGUUUGGGCGGCCGGUCAAAGGCCCCUGGAAUGUAACGCCUCUCGGGGCGUCUUAUAGCCAGGGGUGCCAUGCGGCCUGCCCGGACCGAGGAACGCGCUUCGGCUCGGACGCUGGCAUAAUGGUCGUAAGCGACCCGUCUUGAAACACGGACCAAGGAGUCUAACAUCUACGCGAGUGUUCGGGUGUCAAACCCGUGCGCGCAGUGAAAGCGAACGGAGGUGGGAACCCCCCGGGGUGCACCAUCGACCGAUCCUGAUGUCUUCGGAUGGAUUUGAGUAAGAGCGUAGCUGUUGGGACCCGAAAGAUGGUGAACUAUGCCUGAAUAGGGCGAAGCCAGAGGAAACUCUGGUGGAGGCUCGCAGCGGUUCUGACGUGCAAAUCGAUCGUCAAAUUUGGGUAUAGGGGCGAAAGACUAAUCGAACCAUCUAGUAGCUGGUUCCUGCCGA
rnacentral:rRNA from 1 species